CAGCCGUAAACGAUGCGCGUUAGGUGUAUCGACGACCACGAGUCGUCGAGGUGCCGAAGGGAAACCGUGAAACGUGCCGCCUGGGAAGUACGGCCGCAAGGCUGAAACUUAAAGGAAUUGGCGGGGGAGCACCACAACAGGUGGAGCCUGCGGUUUAAUUGGACUCAACGCCGGAAAUCUCACCGGAUAAGACAGCAGAAUGAUUGCCGGGCUGAAGACUCUACUUGAUGAUCUGAGAGGAGGUGCAUGGCCGUCAGUGACU
rnacentral:rRNA from 1 species